CCCACAAAUAUGUUGGCGCAUUUUCCGUUUGGCAGUGAGGAAAGUCCUCUUAAUUUCUGAUCAUGUUUAUUGUUUUGGAAAAUUGAAUUCAUUCUUCUUUUUCGGACAUCGACGAAUGUUCACAAGCAAACAUGUGUCACGCUGACGCAACAUGUACUAAUACACGAGGAUCAUACCUAUGCACUUGCAACACUGGUUACACAGGCAAUGGAACGUAUUGCGUAGGUCAGUAAAGAACAAUAAAAUAAAUGAAUGAAAAUAUUAAACGGGAAAUGGGAAAAUUAAAUGGGAAAACUUAUAUUCCAGACGACGAGGUAUGAGCAAGGUUACAUUAUUAUAUAAAAUUCUCAACGACUUUCGUGCACCAAAUUUGAAAGAGUUAUUGAUGAGGAGGAAUUCUUUAGAAACUAAUUGUCACUCAGAAAUGUUCACACUGAUCUGACCCUUCCUAAACCGAGACGCAAGUUUCUUGAAAAAGCUGUAAGUACAGUGGCGGUAAACUUUGG
rnacentral:lncRNA from 1 species